CACUGUCAAUUAAUUAAUAAAUGCCAAAUUGUCGUUUAUAACUCUAAGUGAAACUUUUUGAAUUAUUUGACUCUUUCGCUGACCUGACUACCGCAGGAUGAUGAUCAAAUUCAAAUCAACAUCUAAUAUGAAGAACAGAAAUCUCGAAAGUGAUAAAUGCAAAUGCUACAAUACUUAACCACAUAAAUUCAUUUACAUCAUUGUCAAUUAUGACACAGUGCAGAAUAAUUAACAAGAGCAGUCAUUAGAAGCCCAAAAACUAAAUCAAAAAUAUGAAAAUAUUUAAUAAAUUCAUAAAUAGUUUAGACCACAAAAACGUAUCAACAAUUUGACAAAGUACUUGUCAUAAGAGAGACUAAAGACUAAAGACGUCUAAUCAAAGUUUUGCUCUACACUAAUGGGCUAAACAAGUUUCCAGUGCUGAGUGCCUAUGUGUUGCAAGUUGUUUACAGGCUCGAGCAUCCAACAGAUCCGGUUGAGAGCGGAAACUCUGCCCUUUGGAAAGUUGAUUUUCUGCUCAAUUGCAGCAGGACCUUUACUCGAAAGUUGACAUCAAAACUUGCAGAUGGCAUUGUGCUGCCGGCUGUGCGAAAAAUUUAAAAUUCAAUUUCGACAAACAUUUGCCAUUUGCAUAUUAAAUUAAGAUAAAAAAAAUAUUAUUUAAAUGUGGAGAAACAACACGCACACACAACAUAUUCCGAAGACAGUUGUGGAGAGUCAAAUAAAAUUAAACAUAACU